rnacentral:rRNA from 1 species
AUUGAACGCUGGCGGCAUGCCUUACACAUGCAAGUCGAACGGUAACAGGUCUUCGGAUGCUGACGAGUGGCGAACGGGUGAGUAAUACAUCGGAACGUGCCUAGUAGUGGGGGAUAACUACUCGAAAGAGUGGCUAAUACCGCAUGAGAUCUACGGAUGAAAGCAGGGGAUCGCAAGACCUUGUGCUACUAGAGCGGCCGAUGGCAGAUUAGGUAGUUGGUGGGAUAAAAGCGUACCAAGCCGACGAUCUGUAGCUGGGUUGAGAGGACGAUCAGCCACACUGGGACUGAGAAACGGCCCAGACUCCUACGGGAGGCAGCAGUGGGGAAUUUUGGACAAUGGGCGCAAGCCUGAUCCAGCAAUGCCGCGUGCAGGAUGAAGGCCUUCGGGUUGUAAACUGCUUUUGUACGGAACGAAAAGCCCCGGGUUAAUACCCUGGGGUCAUGACGGUACCGUAAGAAUAAGCACCGGCUAACUACGUGCCAGCCGCCGCCGUAA